UACGUAGGGUGCAAGCGUUGCCCGGAUUUAUUGGGCGUAAAGCGUGCGCAGGCGGCUUUGCAAGACAGAUGUGAAAUCCCCGGGCUUAACCUGGGAACUGCAUUUGUGACUGCAUGGCUGGAGUGCGGCAGAGGGGGAUGGAAUUCCGCGUGUAGCAGUGAAAUGCGUAGAUAUGCGGAGGAACACCGAUGGCGAAGGCAAUCCCCUGGGCCUGCACUGACGCUCAUGCACGAAAGCGUGGGGAGCGAACAGG
rnacentral:rRNA from 1 species